GAUGAACGCUGGCGGCGUGCCUAAUACAUGCAAGUCGAGCGAACAGAUGAGGAGCUUGCUCCUCUGACGUUAGCGGCGGACGGGUGAGUAACACGUGGAUAACCUACCUAUAAGACUGGGAUAACUUCGGGAAACCGGAGCUAAUACCGGAUAAUAUAUUGAACCGCAUGGUUCAAUAGUGAAAGACGGUUUUGCUGCCACUUAUAGAUGGAUCCGCGCCGCAUUAGCUAGUUGGUAAGGUAACGGCUUACCAAGGCGACGAUGCGUAGCCGACCUGAGAGGGUGAUCGGCCACACUGGAACUGAGACACGGUCCAGACUCCUACGGGAGGCAGCAGUAGGGAAUAUUCCGCAAUGGGCGAAAGCUUGACGGAGCAACGCCGCGUGAGUGAUGAAGGUCUUCGGAUCGUAAAACUCUGUUAGUAGGGAAGAACAAAUGUGUAAGUAACUAUGCACGUCUUGACGGUACCUAAUCAGAAAGCCACGGCUAACUACGUG
rnacentral:rRNA from 1 species